rnacentral:lncRNA from 1 species
GCUGAACGCAUAGAGGAGCUGUUUCGCCUGUUCGGCCGAUGGAAUGAAAACAUUUAGCUGCGGAGUAUAUGAAAAACAUUUUAAAUGUGUGAUAUUAAUAACAAUUUGGAUAUGUCGCGACUUUUGAACUGAAUUGGAGAGAAAGGCGAGACGAGGACGGAUGGAAAAAUAAGUCUUGGAUUAUUAUUAAGUCGUUCCUUAAAUUCACUAAUUUUGUUUUUUUCCUUUAAAAAACAAUAAAUUAAGAAAAUAUAUUUCUGCGAUUUAAACUUCAGUUCUGACGGGGGAAAGUUUGAAAAUACUGUGAAGGUAUUUACAAUGGAAACGAAUUAAUUUGGUAACUUGGUCCACGUAAUACUUGUUCAGAACAGACAUUCCCCCUCCCCCUCUCGCUCUUCGCCGCGGUCUGCGCUAAAACCACGGGUCUGGCUUCUCACCCCGAAGAUGCGAUAGUGGGGCAGGGAGGAGGACAGUGUCCCGCUGAUUCGGCGGUUUCGGUUCAGUUUGGACCGAGACGGUCGAAGGUGAGGCCUGCGGGUCAGGCUUUCACCGGGCUAGAGUUGGUGCGCCUCGCCGGGUUCGGGAGCGCAAGGGUCGGCGAGAGGGCUUGAGUCGAGCCCGGAGGCCCAUCUAGACGGGAUGGAACGGAUGGAGGUAGACCAGUGCGCAGGCGCAGCUGCUGGCAGUGGAGGCGGGGCUCUGCGACGGUCCAACAGCGCCCCCAUGAUCACUGGCGUCAGUGACGGGAUGGCGGUGUUCAGUUCUGGCAGUACGGCCCGUUAUCGGAGGAGCAGUGUGUCUGUCAAUCUCGGUUGCCCAGGACUGGCCCUCCCCCUUUCGCCGUUUCCGCUGGUCUGCGGAUUGCUGGAGCACUCGAAGCAGGACGAAUGUAUGGAGCCGAACCCCAGAGGAGCCAUACACAGACAGAGUGUUGGUCCUCCACCCCCGGAAUGUCCCUGGGAGGACCACAGGAUCCUGGGCCUCCACUCUCUUGACAGUGGUAUCACACCCAAUUCCUCCCCCAGCCCAACAAGAAGAUUCAAAAACAGGGGGAGUGUCAGUCCAGCAGUGCGAUGGCCCGUCCUCACUCCACUUAAGAGGAAAGGUGGAGUGGAAUCAGAUGGCCCGCCCAAGAAGCUGUUUGUCACAGGAGUGACCGACCCCCCUCAUCUAACUGGGUACACCGUCAGUGUUGCGCCAGCUGGCUCUUCACCAGUGGGGAUGUCCGGCUGUGUGCCUCCCCAGGGAAGCCCACUCUCUCUUGCCAUCAGUGUGCCCACCCCCCCUUCGUUCACCCCGCAGCACCCCGGGAUGUAGCCAGUCGGUGCCGGGGAGAAGACGCUAGCCCAACCCAACAGAGACCAGAAUGAAGAGCACACUUGCCGAUGGCCACUCAGAGAACCUCAAGAGGGGCAGCAGCCAAUUAGAAGAAAGCAGCCUGGAAACCUGUCCAGUCCGGCUGAAAGAAGCUUAACUAACCGACUCCACCCACUCAGAUGCACAGUCUGGCUUUGUAGCCUAACAGAGCUGAUAGGAUAUGUGCUAAGCCAGUUAUAGAACAGAAAAGAUGGAAGCACAGCCGAUCACUGGAUGAUGGACAGGUGGGCGAGAGAGUGGCCCCACAGAGAACAGAUGAGGAGACAUUUACCCAUUCAAACAGCAAGACUGGUCUGGAGGUGGGGGCAUCCUAGCCGGACUUAUAGCCAAAGAAUUAGCAACAGAGAGCGUGCAUUGAAACCGGAUCAUCUAGAAUUGUGCAUCACAUACCUUCACACCUGUGUUUCCCUUUUAUAAGAAAAUGACACAAUUCGGUUUUGCCACUUUUUCAGAAUGCUAAUUUAUGAUGCCAUGCCGCCUAAACUUUAAUAUUUUGUUGUAGUUUACAGUUUUAUUUUCCAAGUGGUGUAAACCCAUCUUGGAAGAAAAUGCUUUAGCAAUAUGCAGUGAAAGACUUAAGUGGCACUACGUGAGAGAGUGAGUGGAAAGACAAGAAAUGACCACAUCAGAACAACUACUGGCUUUUCCAAAUCUGGGCUUAGAUGUAACUUGUGCAAAAGCUGAAAAUUGACAUUUAUCUCUAUAUUUAAUUCUGUAUAAGAAUAAAAGUCAUAAAUUGUGGCAGAGAAACUAGUAAUAGGACCUCAAGUGGGUACACAGUGAAUUUGGACAAAGUAAUCUGCUGGAAGCCAAGAGGAAGCUACUUUGUCAUUAAAAGAAGGUGGAAUUUCCUUUGGUAUUGGGCUUCAAGCCAAUCUUUUUAGUGUCAAAAAUUGUAAAAAUAAGGGUAAAUAUACAAGUGGUUCUUUCUGCAGCCCUUGGAAGCAGCACUUUCAGUUUGAGCCAAUCAACCUAAGGCUAAUCCUGCCAAGCACAUUAUGCGUGUAACAAUAUAAGUAACGUUGCUUUUGACAAACUCAAACGCAGUAUAUAGAUAACACAGACAAUAAAAGACACAGAUGUACACGCAGUCUAAUGCACAGUUUAAUAUUAUACUCCCAACACAGUGAAACGUUAGGCUUAAAGUCAGGCUUAGUUCCAGCCUGGGCUUUGUGCUCAGCGGCAGGGAUUCUCCAAGCUGCAGCCUUGUGCACAGCUGAGCUCCACAGAGGCGUGGCAGACUGUAGCCGACCAGGGCAUUCCUCAGCUUUGCAGGCAACAUCACCCUCAGUAUGGCAGGGCCGAGUCACCGUGCUGAUGAGAACUGCACUGGGUGGCAGGGGGUGUGAGACUAAGCUCGAGGAAAUUCUAAAACUUCUGUAAGAUUUUGGGUCCAGAAACUCCUUAUGUAUUCUUGAAGAGGUAUCCUGCAGGCCUCAUGUGGACAAAGGAAUUUUGGCUGGAAAAUCCUGCAGCAUUUUUGAAGUUUGUGUGUGUGUGUGUAGAGAUCUUAUCGCAUGAGCAGUGAGAAGGAGAGACGGGGGUGGUGAGAAUAGACAGAGGACAGUAAGAGAGGUGACACUGAGGGAGGCGACAGGAGAAGAGAAGCAGUAAGCGGAGACAGGCGAGCUGAGAGAAGACAUAGUGAAACAGGCAACAGCAAGACGGGAGACAGGACAUGCAGCAAGAGUUCGCAGAUGACUGCCUUCCAAGGUUACAUUCACUGUUUGGAACUUGUAUAUAGUAAUUGUGAAAAAUAAAGUAUUUUUAUGGACUUGUAAGAUGCAAACAACAAAAACUAUAUUCAUUCCUCUGAGUAUUUCAUGCUUGUACAAUUAACGCCAAGUGUCUCAUGUUUCUGUGAAAAAAUAUACCUUUUAAAUAUAUGAAUAAAAAUCAUCGUAUUGUAUCUGCUACUGACUACUAUAUGUAUAUGGCUACUUUAGGUUUAGUCAAAUUGAAAGUACCCAAUACAGGGCCUUGAAAACGUAUUCAGCCCCCAUCCUGUUUUUCACACUUAAGAAUAAAAGCCUAGA